rfam:Gossypium hirsutum cultivar TM-1 chromosome 20, whole genome shotgun sequence
UGUUGAAAAUUUUAUCUAUUUCUACGGUUAAAAACUUGUGUGGUUGACGGAAUAAGUAGACACGCCACGUAUACCUCAUUCUAAUGUACAAUGAUCAAAUUUUAAUAGUAGGAAUAGAUGAAAUUUUUAAUA